CCUACCCUCAAAAGCCUGAAGCAAUGACAAAGGCUGUUCAAAGUGCUGAGGAACCAAGGAAAUGUACAUAUUUGGCUUAAUUCAUAAAACUGUCAUUGAAGGCCAGCUAAGAAGACGAAGAUUUUUGUCCAGGAUCUGCAGCUGUGAGACCACAGAGAAAGUUUGUUGACUCAUGACCUAGAUGACUGCAAGAGCCUACAAUGAAGUCCCUCUGCAAACAGAAGCAAAAGGCACAGUCUGCUCCUCCUAAAGCAAGUCCACAUCUCUACUCCAGAAAAGAGCAAACUAUUUACAACUAUUUAAAUACAGCCUUUUCAUCUUAAAAAUUACAUUAAGUUUCUGGAAUUCUGAUAUACCCAAUUCCAAUUCUGGAGGCUGGCAAGUUCAAGAUCAAGGUGCCAGAAGAUUUGGUGUUUGGAUGGUCAUUUUCUGCUGCUAUGGCCCAGUUUGUGCCUUCAAGGACUGACUGUGUAAAAAAGAGCCCAGAAACUCUUUGAACUGACUUACAGUAGCUUCUUCAGCAGUCAGCUGUAACGAUGGCUGGAGCACCUGGUACCUGAGUGAGGGCCAAGAAUGGGCUCUGCAUGUGCCCUCCCUCAACAAUUGCCCACCACCCAUUCUCACACAAAUGCAGUGGGGGAUGAACCUGUAGGGAUGGGUAAUCAGCCUGAAAGGAACAAUUUUGCAUAUGUGUAAAAUCUGAAAAAAUAAAUUAUUAUUCAUGGGAAACAUGCCACUAAUAUGAUAGAGAAGAAAAAGUUUGAUAUUUGGUGUCUGAACAUUUGGGUGUUUCCAGACCUAUCUCUGCCAUUUACUCUAUGAUUAAGACUUCACGACAUAAGUUUUCUGAGUCUCAUCUUCCCACCUCUUAAAGGUGCCUAAUGACAAUACCUGAAACCACUUUGCCAUAAAACAUUUACUGCAUAUUGUCAAUGCAUACUAGGUAUGAUACUAGGCACCAGCAAUAUAAAAACAAAUGAAAUGUGGCACCUGCUCUCAAGACUUGAAAGAAGCUAUAAUGUAAAGCAUCGAACUACAGGAGAAAAGUGGGAAUCUUUCCUUUUUCACAUCCAUAGUCACUAAGGCCAUUUGUCGACUGAGCAAAUGUAUAGUACAGAAAGCUGUUAGACUAAUAUCUAGUGAUUAAACUGUACUUAAGGGAGAGAAUGGCCUUUAAGUAGCAAAAAUCUCUCAUGGGUUAUUUUGUUAUUUAAAAGUGGCACUGGCGAGGGCUAGGAUAAAACAGUUAAACAGUUUUACCCAGGAAAUAAACCACAAUAUUGGAGAAGGAGGUUUAAAGUACUAGAAAAGAGAGAAGGAGGAAGAGAAAUAGUAAGAAUGCAGGCUGAGCUGAAAUAAUUUCCAUGAUCAGCUGUAAAGUUGCACACUUUUACAUGCAUACUCUGAUGUUGGAUUGUCAGUAAAAGUCUGCUAUCCACAAUUAUUAUCUUUGAGUUUGGGGAAAAUAAAUUAAAAGGAAAUGUUUGCCAAUCAUUGAUGAAUGGCAGUGGGAGAAGUGAAGAGAUGGAGAAUAAGAGAGACCUGAACCAGGGCCGGAAUCCCUGGAGUCCUCAUAGAACAUUAUAGGACAUUGAGAUCCCACCAUCUGUAGAAUAGGGUUUUAAGCCAAUGUAUACCUUAAUUGUGAUAAACAAGGGGAUCCCUGCAAGCUGAAGAUCCAGGGAACAGGUGGAGACAGACACAGAAGAAAUGAGGAAAUUAAUGAAUAAAAAGUCAAGAGCAUGAGAGGAAGGUAGACAUGACUUUGAAGGAAAGUCAGGCAAGAAUGUAUGGUUAUACUCUGUUGUCAGCAGGGAAUUACUUUAUAAAGUAGAAAGAGAAGCCCAAAGAGCAUCUUUUCCCCAGGGUAUAGUCAAGAGAAGAGAAGAGAUGGAAAGCCAUUUGGAAAAAGUGAUGGGGAAUUCAGGCAUCGGGUCAACACCAAGGUAAGUGGGAAGAACUCAGUGGGCCUGGCAUUGCUGGCAUAAAGAGAAGGUCCCUGAGGGCAGAAGGACACCUUCCAGACAGACCUGCUGUUUCUCCAAAGGGGUGCUUGCUUCACAUCCUUAUAUAUUUUUUUCCAGUCUUUACCUGAUGCCUGAGACCUGGCCCUUCUAAUUCUUUACACUGAAAGACCAGAAAAUUUUUUAAAAGAGAAAAAGAAAGAAAGAUAAAGAAAAAAGAAAGAAAGACAAGCAUAGCAUUUAUAGAAACAUGAGAACUUCUGCAGGGGUGCAGACCCAUCUUUGAAAAUGAUUCUUUGGAAGAGGCCUUUAGUGCCAAAUACUUGAGUUGCUGCCAGUCUGUUAUGACUCCUUCUUUAUCAUUUCCCCUCACAUGAGGCAGAUCGAGACAGAUCCACAUUCCUUCCCCUGUGUUUGGGGCCCACUCUCAGUCAUUGUCAGCUGCUGGUUUGCUGAGGUUCUUGGGGUUGAAAAAAUCCACCUGGUGGCUCCAUCUCUGUUUGCUGCAACAUUUAUGUAGAUGGGGUGUCAUCUGGGAGUCAUGGCAGCAGAGACACAACAAACAAAAGCAACCCACUGGCUUCCAGGGUGAACAGCAAAUUCCUCUUUAGCUCCCUAGAAUGUUUAUGGAGUAGCUGAGUAGCCACACAUCCUUGAUCCUCCAAAGCCAGAUAGUGGGCAGCUGUUGCAAAUUCUUUCUGAAGAGCUUAUACAUAAAAUAAUUCUUGCUGAACUUAACCAUAUCACCAUGAAAAAGGACAUUAAUCUCAUUUAUGAGGGCUCCACCUUAAUGAUCUAAUCGCCUCCCAGAAGCCCCACUUCCAAAUACCAUCACACUGGGGAUUAGCUUUCAACAUAUCAACUUUAGGGGGACACAAACAUUCAGAGUGUAGCAAUCCCUGUGCCCACUUUUUUUCCUCUAGGAUGGUCAUAUCACCAAAUGGUCUUCUGCUGCCAUUUGGUGAUAACUGUCCCUCUAUGUUCUCUCUUCCUUCCUUUCCUCCUUUCUCCUUUCUUCUUUCCUUCCUUCCUUCUUCCUUUCUCCUUUCUUCUUUCCUUCCUUCCUUCUUCCUUCCUUCCUAUGAAUUGAGCAACUAGUAGAUGCUAGGUCCUAUGAUUAGAAAUGAGAAUGUUACCAAGAACAAGGACAUUAUCUUUAUCCUCAUGGAACUCAGAGUUGAAUUGAAGAAAACAGCACACACAUGACCAAUAGAGAAAACACAGGCUAUGAAAAAAGGAAGAGUGAUUCCCUAAUCAAGCCAUGGGCUUUCAGGGAAAGCCUCCAUGAGGUAGUCAGGUCUGAGAUGGGCUUUAAAAAAAAAAAAGUCAAACAAAUGGAGAAAUGGUGAACAGGUAUCUUCCUGGAACACGGUACAUGUGCAGCCAUGAAGGAUCGAGAAAACCCAAGGCAUAUUUGAGGGCUGCCCAGCCAUGCAGGUGUAGAGUAUGCUUAUGUCUGAGGGGUGGGGCUUAGGCCCAGGCAGAAGUGAGACCAUAAAAUCAACUAAACAUGCAUUAAAGAUUGAAACCUAAGACCUGGAGCCAUAAAAUGCCUAAAAGAAAACAUGAAGGGGAAAAGCUUCAUGACCUUGGACUUGGCAAUAAUUUUUUGGACGUGACAUCAAAAGCGCAAGCAACAAAAGCAAAAUCAAACAAGUGAGACUGAACUAAAAUCUUCUGCACAGCGAAAGAAACAAUCAACAGAGUAAAAAGGCAACAUACAGAAUGGGAGAAAAUAUUUGCAAACCAAAGAUCUGACAAGGUAUUUAUAUCUAAGAUAUGUAAGAAACUCAAACAACUCAAUAGCAAAAUAAAUAAAUAAAUAACGAUUUAAAAAUGGGCAAAGGACUUGAGUAGACAUUUCUCCAAAGAUGACAUACAAAUGGCCAAUAGGUAUAUGAAAACAUGCUCACUAUCAUUAAUCAUCAGAGAAUGCAAUCAAAAGUACAAUAAAAUAUCAACUAUUAGAAUGUCUAUUAUCAGAAAAAAGAUAAAUGUUGGCAAGAAUAUAGAGAAAUUGGAACCCUUGUACACUGUUGGGAAUGUAAAAAUGGUGCAGUUGCUGUGGAAAAUAGUGUGAAGUUCCCUCAAAAAAUUAAACAUGGAAUUACUAUGUGGCCUAGCCCUCUCACUUCUAGGUAUAUAUCCAAAAGAAUUAAAAUUAAG
rnacentral:lncRNA from 10 species